UACGUAGGGGGCUAGCGUUGUCCGGAAUCAUUGGGCGUAAAGCGCGUGUAGGCGGUCCGGUAAGUCCGCUGUGAAAGUCGGGGGCUCAACCCUCGGAUGCCGGUGGAUACUGUCGGGCUUGAGUACGGAAGAGGCGAGCGGAAUUCCUGGUGUAGCGGUGAAAUGCGCAGAUAUCAGGAGGAACACCAAUUGCGAAGGCAGCUCGCUGGGACGUUACUGACGCUGAGACGCGAAAGCGUGGGGAGCAAACAGG
rnacentral:rRNA from 1 species